UCCGUUGAUGCAGGUCAGUUAUUUUCCCUCCUUUAUCUCCCUUCCUUGCUGGUAUUGAUCCCGGUCAAUUUGUGCGUCUGUGUGUUUGGUAACUUAGGUCCAUCGCAGCAGAGCAGGGGCCAGGAGGCCAGUCAUGUUUUUCGAUAACGUGGUUUUUGCCGGGGUCCUGACUGUAGGGCUGAUGGUUCUGUUUUUUGCAGGGUUUGGAUUUUUUAUCUGGAAGGAUGCGAAUAAGCGCAAGAAGUGAUUCUUCUGGAUUGAUGAGCACGCAAGGCAUUUUGGGGCGACUUCGGUUGCCCCUU
rnacentral:sRNA from 1 species